rnacentral:rRNA from 1 species
AGGACGAACGCUGGCGGCGUGCUUAACACAUGCAAGUCGAGCGAGGCCUUCCCUUCGGGGGAGUGCCCUAGCGGCGAACGGGUGAGUAACACGUGGGCAACCUGCCCCUAGCACUGGGAUAACUCCGGGAAACCGGGGCUAAUACCGGAUAUGACCUUCGAGGGCAUCCUCUUUGGUGUAAAGGAUUCUGGCUAGGGAUGGGCCCGCGGCCUAUCAGCUUGUUGGUGGGGUAAUGGCCUACCAAGGCGACGACGGGUAGCCGGCCUGAGAGGGCGACCGGCCACACUGGGACUGAGACACGGCCCAGACUCCUACGGGAGGCAGCAGUGGGGAAUAUUGCACAAUGGGCGAAAGCCUGAUGCAGCGACGCCGCGUGAGGGAUGACGGCCUUCGGGUUGUAAACCUCUUUCAGCUCCGACGAAGCGAAAGUGACGGUAGGAGCAGAAGAAGCACCGGCAACUACGUGCCAGCAGCCGC